CUCUGUGUGGGGAAGCUGAGAGCCAGAGCCACGCUCAGAGUGUUAAGACACUGAUACGUAAAUUUCAACAACACCCAGAACCAGAACCCAGCUGUGUGUCCUUUAAGAGCAAUGAUUCAAAGGAUUUUUUCCUUGACUUCAAAUCUUCAGGACCUGCAUCCUCAGAGAGAGUGGACCAGCAGAACUCAGAGGUUCCCAGAGGUCCGUCUG